AUUGAACGCUGGCGGCAGGCCUAACACAUGCAAGUCGAACGGUAACAGGAAGAAGCUUGCUUCUUUGCUGACGAGUAGCGGACGGGUGAGUAAUGUCUGGGAAACUGCCUGAUGGAGGGGGAUAACUACUGGAAACGGUAGCUAAUACCGCAUAACGUCGCAAGACCAAAAAGGGGGACCUUCGGGCCUCUUGCCAUCGGAUGUGCCCAGAUGGGAUUAGCUAGUAGGUGGGGUAACGGCUCACCUAGGCGACGAUCCCUAGCUGGUCUGAGAGGAUGACCAGCCACACUGGAACUGAGACACGGUCCAGACUCCUACGGGAGGCAGCAGUGGGGAAUAUUGCACAAUGGGCGCAAGCCUGAUGCAGCCAUGCCGCGUGUAUGAAGAAGGCCUUCGGGUUGUAAAGUACUUUCAGCGGGGAGGAAGGGAGUAAAGUUAAUACCUUUGCUCAUUGACGUUACCCGCAGAAGAAGCACCGGCUAACUCCGUG
rnacentral:rRNA from 1 species